CCCUUAGAUGUCCUGGGCCGCACGCGCGUUACACUGAUGCAUUCAACGAGCUUAUAACCUUGGCCGAGAGGCCUGGGCAAUCUUGUUAACGUGCAUCGUGAUAGGGAUAGAUUAUUGAAAUUAUUAAUCUUGAACGAGGAAUUCCUAGUAAACGCAGAUCAUCAAUCGGCAUUGAUUACGUCCCUGCCCUUUGUACACACCGCCCGUCGCACCUACCGAUUGGAUGGUCCGGUGAAGCCUCGGGAUUGUGGUUCUUGCCGCUUUAUUGUAGCGUGACCGCGAGAACUUGUCUAAACCUUAUCAUCUAGAGGAAGGUGAAGUCGUAACA
rnacentral:rRNA from 1 species